GGGUCAAUGAUGAGAACGCAUUGUCUCGAAGAGAGAUGAUGACUAAAAUAAAGUUCAGUGUGAGUGAUCUGAGGCCC
ensembl:snoRNA SNORD115 Small nucleolar RNA SNORD115